GACAGGAGUGUCACUCCGGAAGCCUUUAUUUUGAUGUUGUUUUGUAUAUCCUGCAUUAAAACCUAGAGAGAGAGGAACCUAGAGAGUUCCAGAGAGGAAUAGGUCUACGUCUGAGGUCUGUUUGAGUAAGGACUAAGGCAGGAAUCUGAGAUUUGGACUGCCAUGAAGGGAAAAGAGUACCAGCACUGAGAAAAUUAUAGAAGCACAGGACAGCUGAGGCUGGCAGGGCCCUCUGGGUCCCUCUGCUCCAACCCCUGACCCAGCAGGGACACCCAGAGCAGGGUGCCCAGGGCCACGUCCAGGUGGCUCUGGGAGAUCCCCAAGGAGGCAGAUUCCAUAAAUAAGCAUUACUGCACUAACUGUGUUGGUGUCCAUGUGUUUUAUAUUUAUCUGGUAUUUGGGGCAGGUGAGUACCCCGGGUGUCACACGAAAUCUCCCCACCACCAGUCAGAUGCAAUCCCCAUGCAUCACUCACAACACCAUUGGGCAGAGAUGUUCCCAGAUGUGGACAGGGACCACCUUCCCCAAAGCCACGUUUAGCAACCCCCAGGGGCACAGUAGUAUUAAAAAUACUAUUGCACACAAGAAUGUGGGAGAGCCCUGAGAGAGCAGAACUGUAACCAUGGGUGCAUUACUAACGCCUCACUCCUACACAGGCCAGAUCUUACUCAGCAAACACGGUAUUCACACAGGCAGCUCACUCAACAAAGCUGGAAAAAGCUCUUACAGCUACGAGAAGAACUCGUGUAAUUUCCAUGGCUGUGAAUCAGGACGUCUUCAUUCUUGUGGCAUGUUUUUCACUUUUAUGAACACUAAUUUCGCUGCAUUUUCGGAGCGGUGACUUUAGCCACAGCGUGGCUGCUGCGAAGUUCCCACGGCUACCAGUAGGACUUUUAUGUGGGAAAUCUGUGGGCAGCAGGGAGCCUCCCUGCUUGUAUCAAUAGGAACUUCCCAAGCGCCUCAGACUGACAUUUUCUCAGCCCGGGAUCGGAGCACACAUGCUCUCAUUUAGAGCUCCCUUCUCCGAAGCUGAAGGACAUGUGUGAUCAUUUUAGCUCCGGCAAUUUUCUAGCAGGCCUUUUGCACACAGAGGAAUCCUGCGCAAAUGGGUUUUUUCCUCUUCAGCCAGCAGAAACCCCAUCCUGCAAACUGCUGAGCAGGGCACCGAGGGGUGAACACAGGAGAUGCCAGCCAGGGCCACGUUGACCCCAGGCCCCCAUCAUGUUGAAGACCACGGAGGAAGCAUAUCAGAGUCCUACCAGUGUGGAUGCUGCAUUGCAGACCUCCCCUCACAAACUUUCUGAAUUUUGGGGUGCACAGAGCAUCCUUCCAGUGUGCCUCAACACCACAGAGACAUCAGUUUUCCAUCUUUCUAUGCGUCUGCUGGGGCUGUCAGGCCACCACCAGCAGUCAUCCUGUCCCACAAGAGUUUCCCAGCCUUUCGCAUCACAGCCAUGCAUUCCAGAGAUGACCAGACACAUAAAUACGUCUUCUGUGCUUGCACACUGGAAGACUUUCUGCAGCUGGAUAAUAAGAGCAUGUUAAAAGCAUAUAUAUUGUCUCCACCAGUCAAAAAAAAAAAAAGAAAAGAAAAGAAAAGAAAAAAAAGGUUGAAUUUUUGUUCUCAGAAGACAGAAAUGCAGUGGGAGGGCAACGGGCAAGUUGUACAGCUUUGGAUUUAUUAAAGAUAAUAUAUUGCAGGGAAAAAUCAGCUGUGGUGGGACACUGUGUUUACUGGAUGUUUAGAGAAGACCACACAACCCACAAACACGACAGGACCACGCUCAAUGAUCGUAUCUCACUAUCGCUUCCUAUUUGCAGAACUGUAAUUGUGGGAAUUCUUAAGGUCCAUAAUCACUAAAAAUGGAUAUCUGAACUCAGAAACCAGGGAGGCAGAAGCCCUCAAGGAAUUGUUUUCCACUUCGGUAAAAACAAAAAGGCUGAAUUCUUUGUCAAUGAGAGAUGGCCCAGUUUUGCAGCUUUAGGUUUGGUAGAAGAAACACCUGGCUGCCUAUCAGUAACAGGGCAGAGUCUGAUGAGAACAGAGGACAGAGAUUGUCACUCAUUUAUCAUGUGUAAGGAUUUCAUUGAUGCACGUCAUUCCAGUGCAAACUGGUAAUAACUGCUCAGGGUUGCCCAGAGGAGCUGUGAAUGCCGCAGUCCUGGAGGUGUGAGGUCACCUGGAGGCCAGGCUUCCAGUAUGGGACAUCCUGACUGGUAAGGAAUCACGGGUGAACUGUCCAUCCUGUCACACCGAGCAGAAAGUUUGCUACUGAUUUCAAAGAACUGAGAUUUUUACCCACAGGAAAUCAAGCACGUAUAAAGAUCACCGCCCAGCUCUUCAGCAGCCCUCCAUCCAGAGGAUGAGUCAUCUGCCAGCAGAACAGAAGGGCACUGGUGGGAGCUCUAUUCCAAAGAGCAUGCAAAGAAUUAGAGGAACGAAAGGAAUUGCUCUUCUUUCUUCAAGUUCUGGCUGUCUGGGCUGUAACGCAAUGACCACACAUCGGGAGCGUGCUGCAACUCACUGGGAGCUAACAGACGGAAUAGCUGCAGGCAGCAGGGUGCCUUCUGGGUCCCCAGGAGAUGAUCAUUCCCGAAGGGGCUUCUAAGCUAAGGAGGCAGCAUCCGGACCGGAGCAGGAGCAGAGGACACCGUGCUGACACAGCCGCGUCUCCCCAGCCGCAAAUAGGCGCGCUGCGUGCCUCAAACCACUUCCAUUUGUAUCUGCGCAGACGGAUGUCAGAGAUAUUGAGCAACGUCUCUCUGUGCCCUUCAGUACGCAAAUCAACCCCGUUUCUCUUCCCGGAAUUUCCCCUAGAGCGGUUAUUAAUUAGAGACAGAGAAGCAGCAUUGGCUUAUCUAUUAAAACGAUGAAAUGUAAAUUCAGAUGGAUGCAGAGAAACACUUCUUUUCUCUAUUUACUCUCAAUUUGCAUCUC
ensembl:lncRNA